rnacentral:rRNA from 1 species
UAUUGGACAAUGGGGGCAACCCUGAUCCAGCCAUGCCGCGUGUGUGGAGAAGGCCUUUUGGUUGUAAAGCACUUUAAGCAGUGAAGAAGACUCUAUGGUUAAUACCCAUAGACGAUGACAUUAGCUGCAGAAUAAGCACCGGCUAACUCUGUGCCAGCAGCCGCGGUAAUACAGAGGGUGCAAGCGUUAAUCGGAAUUUCUGGGCGUAAAGCGAGCGUAGGUGGCUUAAUAAGUUAGAUGUGAAAUCCCCGGGCUUAACCUGGGAACUGCAUCUAAAACUGUUUCGCUAGAGUAGGUGAGAGGGAGGUAGAAUUUCAGGUGUAGCGGUGAAAUGCGUAGAGAUCUGAAGGAAUACCGAUGGCGAAGGCAGCCUCCUGGCAUCAUACUGACACUGAGGUUCGAAAGCGUGGGUAGCAAACAGG